GGGGUGUUGGCUCAGUUGGUAGAGCGCUUCCUUAGCAUGGAAGAGGCCGUGAGUUCGAUUCUUACACACUCCA